rnacentral:rRNA from 1 species
GACGAACGCUGGCGGCGUGCUUAACACAUGCAAGUCGAGCGGUAAGGCCCUUUCGGGGGUACACGAGCGGCGAACGGGUGAGUAACACGUGGGUGACCUGCCCUCAGCUCUGGGAUAAGCCCGGGAAACUGGGUCUAAUACCGGAUAAGCCCUUACGGGGAAAGAUUUAUCGCCGAAAGAUCGGCCCGCGUCUGAUUAGCUAGUUGGUGAGGUAACGGCUCACCAAGGCGACGAUCAGUAGCUGGUCUGAGAGGAUGAUCAGCCACAUUGGGACUGAGACACGGCCAAACUCCUACGGGAGGCAGCAGUGGGGAAUUUUGGACAAUGGGGCGAACCCUGAUCCAGCCAUGCCGCGUGCGGGAAGAAGGCCU